AUUUUCUUCUGUUAUUAUGAAUAUUCGUAGGGUCACUAAAUUAUAAGAAACUUUCUAUGAUGUUAAGAUAUAAUUGGCAGGAAAUUAUUAAAUUAACAUUUGUUUAUUUUUUUUUCAGCCUCUACAGCUUUACAUUCCAGUCCAAUAAUGAGAAAAAAAGUAUCUUUAAAUACGUAUACACCUGCAAAGAUCCUCCCAACACCACCAGCUACCUUAAAGAGUACUAAAGCAAGCAGCAAACCAGCUACGAGUGGACCUUCUAGUGCAGUUGUUCCUAAUACCUCAUCUCGGAAAAAGAAUAUAACUAGCAAAACAGAAACGCAUGAACACAAAAAAAACACUGGGAAAAAGAAAUGAAAUCUUAGCAGAAGCUGGAACUUUUUAUACUUAUA
rnacentral:sRNA from 1 species